UAGGGAAUCUUCGGCAAUGGACGAAAGUCUGACCGAGCAACGCCGCGUGAGUGAAGAAGGUUUUCGGAUCGUAAAACUCUGUUGUUAGAGAAGAACAAGGACGUUAGUAACUGAACGUCCCCUGACGGUAUCUAACCAGAAAGCCACGGCUAACUACGUGCCAGCAGCCGCGGUAAUACGUAGGUGGCAAGCGUUGUCCGGAUUUAUUGGGCGUAAAGCGAGCGCAGGCGGUUUCUUAAGUCUGAUGUGAAAGCCCCCGGCUCAACCGGGGAGGGUCAUUGGAAACUGGGAGAAUUGAGUGCAGAAGAGGAGAGUGGAAUUCCAUGUGUAGCGGUGAAAUGCGUAGAUAUAUGGAGGAACACCAGUGGCGAAGGCGGCUCUCUGGUCUGUAACUGACGCUGAGGCUAGAAAGCGUGGGGAGCAAACAGG
rnacentral:rRNA from 1 species